rnacentral:tRNA from 1 species
AUUUAAAUAGUUUAUUAAAAAUAAUAAUUUGUGGAAUUAUAGAAUAUAAAAUUUUAUAUUUAAAUA